AUCCCCGUAUGGGCCACCA
rnacentral:miRNA from 1 species